UAGUGCCAACACAAAACCGAAGGGUAUGAGUUGCACAUGGGUGGAUACACAGAAAACUGAGGAGCUGAAAUGUUGAGUGCUGGAGGCAACCUAGCGGCGGACGGGUGAGUAACGCGUGAGCAAUCUGCCUCAUACAGGGGGAUAACAGGUGGAAACACUUGCUAAUACCGCAUAAGACCACAGCGCUGCAUGGCGCAGGGGUCAAAGGAGUAAGAUCCGGUAUGAGAUGAGCUCGCGUCCCAUUAGCUAGUUGGCGGGGUAACGGCCCACCAAGGCGACGAUGGGUAGCCGACCUGAGAGGGUGAUCGGCCACACUGGGACUGAGACACGGCCCAGACUCCUACGGGAGGCAGCAGUGGGGAAUAUUGCGCAAUGGGGGGAACCCUGACGCAGCAACGCCGCGUGAGUGAAGAAGGUCUUCGGAUCGUAAAACUCUGUCAUAGGGGAAGAAGGAGAUGACGGUACCCUAUGAGGAAGCCCCGGCUAACUACGUG
rnacentral:rRNA from 1 species